UACGUAGGGUGCGAGCGUUGUCCGGAAUUAUUGGGCGUAAAGGGCUCGUAGGCGGUUUGUCGCGUCGGGAGUGAAAACCCAGGGCUUAACUCUGGGCUGGCUUUCGAUACGGGCAGACUAGAGGUAUGCAGGGGAGAACGGAAUUCCUGGUGUAGCGGCGAAAUGCGCAGAUAUCAGGAGGAACACCGGUGGCGAAGGCGGUUCUCUGGGCAUUACCUGACGCUGAGGCUCGAAGGCGUGGGGAGCAAACAGG
rnacentral:rRNA from 1 species